rnacentral:misc_RNA from 1 species
CUGAGUGAGGGAGCAAUCCCGACCUCCAACCCUUUGUGAACGCAUCAUGUUGCUUCGGGGGCGACCCUGCCGCUUUCGCGGCAUUCCCCCCGGAGGUCAUCAAAACACUGCAUUCUUACGUCGGAGUAAAAAGUUAAUUUAAUA